rnacentral:rRNA from 1 species
GGGACAACCCGCCGAAAGGCGGGCUAAACCCGCGUACAUGCCACCGGGGCAUCCCGGAGGCAGGAAAGGCUUCGGCCGGACAGGGAUGGGCAUGCGGCGCAUUAGGCAGUAGGCGGGGUAACGGCCCACCUAACCGACGAUGCGUAGGGGUUCUGAGAGGAAGGUCCCCCACACUGGUACUGAGACACGGACCAGACUCCUACGGGAGGCAGCAGUGAGGAAUAUUGGUCAAUGGUCGGGAGACUGAACCAGCCAAGCCGCGUGAGGGAUGAAGGUACAGAGUAUCGUAAACCUCUUUUGUCAGGGAACAAAGGCGGGGACGUGUCCCCGGAUGAGUGUACCUGAAGAAAAAGCAUCGGCUAACUCCGUGCCAGCAGCCGCGGUAGUACGGAGGAUGCGAGCGUUAUCCGGAUUUAUUGGGUUUAAAGGGUGCGCAGGCGGUCUGUUAAGUCAGCGGUCAAAGCCCGGGGCUCAACCCCGGCCCGCCGUUGAAACUGGCAGUCUCGAGUUGGAGAGAAGUAUGCGGAAUGCGCGGUGUAGCGGUGAAAUGCAUAGAUAUCACGCAGAACUCCGAUUGCGAAGGCAGCAUGCCGGCUCCACACUGACGCUGAGGCACGAAAGCGUGGGUAUCGAACAGGAUUAGAUACCCUGGUAGUCCACGCAGUAAAC